rnacentral:rRNA from 1 species
UACGUAGGGUGCAAGCGUUGUCCGGAAUUAUUGGGCGUAAAGAGCUCGUAGGCGGUCUGUCGCGUCGGCUGUGAAAUCCCGGGGCUCAACCCCGGGCUUGCAGUCGAUACGGGCAGGCUAGAGUGCGGCAGGGGAGACUGGAAUUCCUGGUGUAGCGGUGAAAUGCGCAGAUAUCAGGAGGAACACCGGUGGCGAAGGCGGGUCUCUGGGCCGAUACUGACGCUGAGGAGCGAAAGCGUGGGGAGCGAACAGG